rnacentral:lncRNA from 1 species
AAAAUGUUGAAUUCCCUGUGUUCCAUUUUAAUCUAUUUAUAGUCAUGUUUGUAGAUAUCAAGUUAUCGUUGGGGUAAAGUCUACCCGCAGCAUUAUAAAAGACAAUUAUUAUCCAACGGACUUUUUAAUGGAAGAUCAAAUAAGCAUGCCCUGCAUGCUACAAAAGUCGCAUGUAUAUUCGAAUCGGAAAAUCUUACACGUUUUUUAUCAAUAUUUAUUAUCAUUACCUUUGCUUUGCAUAGGAAACCUUUUUCUCUUUUUCAGGAAACGAAACUAUAACUUUAGGAAACGAUUUAUAAACAUUAAACUUAAGAGACGAUACAAAGAAAUUUCGCCGAAAUAUCGAAAUAUGUAAUAAAAGUACAUGGCUUAAGUGGUACUCAAUCUCAUGUUGUUUUUUUUCAAAUGGUCAGUGACACCAUAUACAGUUUGAUUACUAGGUCAUACGUGUUCACACCAAAAUUUCUCUACUUACAAAUGACCUUUCUACUUUUAGAUUAUGUCUUGUCUUAGCUUGAGCUCACGUUUUUCUUAUACUAUAAACACUAAAAUAUGGAAGCCGGAGUUAAGGUUACAAAACGCAAUCUUUAAUGUUUCCAAACAUGAUGUUUACAAAAACGAAUUGUAGUAUCAAUUUAUUUGUUUACGUAACCAUUGCGCUAUUUUUUCACAUUGGUCAUUUUUAUUUAAAUCUAAUCGAUAACCAAUUAUUUAGCUAGUAUUACAAAUGUAUCAAGGGAGAAUACUACUAUAUAUAUAGUUAAGAGUUAUAUAUAAUGCGCUGAUGCGUGGAUGUAUUUUUAGCUCAAGGUCAUAAGGAUAAACGCCAAGGAUUCUACAUGUAAACAACGCUAAUGUAAAAUGCGAAAACAGUUUCGUAAAGUGGAUUCUUAAUUCAGGAUCUAAGGGAGAAGCAAAUGGAAAACAGUUGAAGAAGCUACCUAUCUAGCUAAGCAAAAACAGACACGUGUAUUUUGUAUUGAGAGUAGAAAUUAUGCCGAAAACGAAAAGAUCUAAAAGGUAUAAAACAACACAGACAAAUGUAAAGAAACCUUAUGAGAAGUCGGUUAAAGUCAACGCAUCAAGUGCAGGCAAUUCAAAAUCUGGUGCGAAAAAGAAAUCGGCUGCAAAUUUGAAAUGGUUUCUCAAAGUUUACAAAGGAUUAGACGACUGGCAUAUUCCAAUAUUUCAAGCUACACAGCAGUACACGAAGGCGAAACACGUACUGUAUCCCGGAAGCGACAAGCACUUGACUGCUUCUCUUUGCUUUCCACUUGUCGUCUAUGUUGAUGUCAACAAGAAAUUAGAACCAGUCUUCAAUGACGACAUGCGUUCUUGAAUGGGUAAAAGAGAACAAGAUGUAUAGCGAAGAAACUAAGAUAAAGUUUCUGUGCCAAAAUUUCGGUUCAGACUUCGAGAAAUUGGCUUCCUUCGAUUUAAUGAUAUCAGCUUGUGCUGGUAUUGUAUCGAAGCCAUGUUCAAAAUAUAUUAAGCCAGGCGGCUAUUUUCUUGUCUCUGAUGCGCAUUUGGAUGCGCGAACAACAUUUCUUAGACCGGACUUUGAACUGGUUGCAGUGUAUGAUAACGAAACAAGCCAGCUUCUUACCAACAAAGCUGAGCUUGCAGGACACUUCCAUACUCUUGAAGGCAAACCAUUAAAUAGUAAGCAAGUUGAAGAAAGUUUGCAAAAAUCGAAAGCCAGGCGCUCGUUUAAACUUCAGAAGGAAGCAAUGUUUUAUUUAUUUCGGAAGGUUAAAAAAGCAUAAUGUGUUGCAAAUGUGUUUGAUUAGAAAUAGCUUAGAUACCAUUACAGUCCUAAUUAAAUGUGUGACUGAUGAACAGCCUUAUAAAAUCGUUACAAUUCAGUUUGUCGAGUGCUUGUCAUUGGCUAUAGACAAAAUGUUAACAUGUCAUGGAAUGUAUUGUGUUGUUAAUAUGUCAUGACUUUCUUGUGUUUUUCUGUGAAAUAUGUCAUUUAAGUGACUACUUUAGGGUGGCUUAUAUUGCUUUCUGAAAUUCAGUUCGCUAAAAUCUUCAAAUGUUUGUAUCUUUUUUAAUAUCAAAAAUUAUAUAAACCUUCGCAUUUAAGAAAGAUAUUUAAAAGCUAAAACGAAACUGCCCCUGGUCCUUGUACCUAUAAAAAAACAUAUUUUUUGCGACUUAAAGUUCAGAAUAAAUAUAUGCCAGUUUAAAAAAAAAGACAAGUGAUGAAUAUUAUUGAUUAUUCAUGCACGCAUGCACGUACGCACGCAUUCUUUACAUAUUACUUUCUUAUAUUAUUUACUUAUAUUAAUACUUUCAUAAAAAUAAAUUAAUAUUCAUAUUUACAGAUAUAUGUAUAUAGUGUAGAAAUAGUUCAUUAAAGAAUUGUUUUUUCUACCACAAAAUAAUUAUAUGAAUGCAUUAUUAGCAUGGCAAAAGAAUUUAAACCAUUUCCAAUGUUGAUGUAUGUACAGUUAAAAAAUGAUAAAAAUAUUUUGAUUUAUUCAUUUGUUGAUUGAUUUGUUUUUAAAUAUCGCAACUACUACUACUGUCGUUAGUCUCAUAAUACAUUGUGUAAUUCUAUAUAUACGUUAUCUAUGCUAAUGUAUACCAUGGUAUACUAUUAUACAUUUUAGCAAGAAUAAAUGAAAUAAAAUUGAUAUGACA